rnacentral:rRNA from 1 species
AAUCAACGCUGGCGGCGUGCCUCAGACAUGCAAGUCGAACGAGAAAGUUCCCUUCGGGGGAUGAGUAAAGUGGCGCACGGGUGAGUAACACGUAGGUAAUCUACCUUCGGGUGGGGAAUAACCCAGGGAAACUUGGGCUAACACCGCAUAAUGCAGCGGCACCACAUGGUGACAGUUGUUAAAGCGGGGGAUUUUAGGACCUCGCGCCUGGAGAGGAGCCUGCGGCGGAUUAGCUUGUUGGAAGGUAACGGCUUACCAAGGCGACGAUCCGUAACCGGCCUGAGAGGGCGGUCGGUCACACUGACACUGACAUACGGGUCAGACUCCUACGGGAGGCAGCAGUCGGGGAAUUUUGGGCAAUGGGCGAAAGCCUGACCCAGCAACGCCGCGUGAAGGAUGAAAUCCCUCGGGAUGUAAACUUCGCAAGAAUAGGAAGAAUUAGUAGGGGCUAACUACCCCCUAUGAUGACGGUACUAUCUGUAAGCUCCGGCUAACUCCGUGCCAGCAGCCGC